CAAAGUGCUGUUCGUGCAGGUAGUGUAAUAACCCAACCUACUGCUGAGCUAGCACUUCUCGA
rnacentral:pre_miRNA from 1 species